rnacentral:rRNA from 1 species
AGAGUUUGAUCCUGGCUCAGGACGAACGCUGGCGGCGUGCUUAACACAUGCAAGUCGAACGGAAAGGCCCUUCGGGGUACUCGAGUGGCGAACGGGUGAGUAACACGUGGGUGAUCUGCCCUGCACUUUGGGAUAAGCCUGGGAAACUGGGUCUAAUACCGAAUAUGACCAUGCACUUCCUGGUGUGUGGUGGAAAGCUUUUGCGGUGUGGGAUGGGCCCGCGGCCUAUCAGCUUGUUGGUGGGGUAAUGGCCUACCAAGGCGACGACGGGUAGCCGGCCUGAGAGGGUGACCGGCCACACUGGGACUGAGAUACGGCCCAGACUCCUACGGGAGGCAGCAGUGGGGAAUAUUGCACAAUGGGCGCAAGCCUGAUGCAGCGACGCCGCGUGAGGGAUGACGGCCCUCGGGUUGUAAACCUCUUUCAGCACAGACGAAGCGCAAGUGACGGUAUGUGCAGAAGAAGGACCGGCCAACUACGUGCCAGCAGCCGCGGUAAUACGUAGGGUCCGAGCGUUGUCCGGAAUUACUGGGCGUAAAGAGCUCGUAGGUGGUUUGUCGCGUUGUUCGUGAAAACUCACAGCUUAACUGUGGGCGUGCGGGCGAUACGGGCAGACUUGAGUACUGCAGGGGAGACUGGAAUUCCUGGUGUAGCGGUGGAAUGCGCAGAUAUCAGGAGGAACACCGGUGGCGAAGGCGGGUCUCUGGGCAGUAACUGACGCUGAGGAGCGAAAGCGUGGGGAGCGAACAGGAUUAGAUACCCUGGUAGUCC